UGGGGAAUAUUGGGCAAUGGGCGAAAGCCUGACCCAGCAACGCCGCGUGAAGUAUGAAGGCCUUCGGGUUGUAAACUUCUUUGAUCAGGGAAGAAACAAAUGACGGUACCUGAAAAACAAGCCACGGCUAACUACGUGCCAGCAGCCGCGGUAAUACGUAGGUGGCGAGCGUUAUCCGGAUUUACUGGGUGUAAAGGGCGUGCAGGCGGGCUGAUAAGUCAGAUGUGAAAUCCCCGAGCUUAACUCGGGAACUGCAUCUGAUACUGUUGGUCUUGAGUGCUGGAGAGGAUAGUGGAAUUCCUAGUGUAGCGGUAAAAUGCGCAGAUAUUAGGAGGAACACCAGUGGCGAAGGCGGCUAUCUGGACAGUAACUGACGCUGAGGCGCGAAAGCGUGGGUAGUAAACAGG
rnacentral:rRNA from 1 species